rnacentral:snoRNA from 1 species
AUAAGCGGCUGUGAUGAUAACAUAUUAUCCCAGCUCAUUAUGAGACCUUUUGUGGUCAAGGAAAAUAACUGAACCCAAAUAAAGCUGACCUGGAC